rnacentral:tRNA from 1 species
GGGGAUUUAGCUCAGUGGUAGAGCGCUUGCCUAGGAAGCCUAGGAAGCGCAAGGCCCUGGGUUCGGUCCCCAGCUCCA